rnacentral:ncRNA from 1 species
CCUCUGGAGAAUCCCGGGCAAACCGGGUGCCGAAGGGGCAAGAUGCGAGUCGCGUCGCCCGCCGGUUCGUCGGCGUCAGCGAGGGCGGCGAAGCUGCUUCGUAACGAGGCGGCUGGGGCGUAAGGCCUCGCGCAUCGAAACUCUCAGGCCAAAGGACAGAGCAA